CAAGUUAUUUUGAGAAGUUUUUGAGGUUUGUUUUGUUUGUGACUUUGGUUUUGAUUGUUUGGAAUACUUUUAUCCAUUCGUUAUAACGUGAUUGAUGAACAUUGAUAACGCCGAUCAAGCAUCCUGUACUGAUAAUAAUAACGCAAGUACCCCAUCUAAAAAUCGAAAAGUUUUGACGAAGAAAAAAAAGGACACAGAAGUACACACAACUUUGGGAAAAUGAGUUUUCAUGGCUAAGAAAAGACUCAGAAAGUGAUACAAAUGCAAAAUCCAUAAUCUGUGGCGAAGUUUUCUCUCUAUUCCAUCAGCUGGAGUUGUACACGAUAGGAAUAUUUACAUAUUGUAUGAUGAAUAUGAUGAUGAUAAA